GACGAACGCUGGCGGCGUGCCUAAUACAUGCAAGUAGAACGCUGAAGGAGGAGCUUGCUUCUCUGGAUGAGUUGCGAACGGGUGAGUAACGCGUAGGUAACCUGCCUGGUAGCGGGGGAUAACUAUUGGAAACGAUAGCUAAUACCGCAUAAUAGUAGAUGUUGCAUGACAUUUGCUUAAAAGGUGCAAUUGCAUCACUACCAGAUGGACCUGCGUUGUAUUAGCUAGUUGGUGGGGUAACGGCUCACCAAGGCGACGAUACAUAGCCGACCUGAGAGGGUGAUCGGCCACACUGGGACUGAGACACGGCCCAGACUCCUACGGGAGGCAGCAGUAGGGAAUCUUCGGCAAUGGACGGAAGUCUGACCGAGCAACGCCGCGUGAGUGAAGAAGGUUUUCGGAUCGUAAAGCUCUGUUGUAAGAGAAGAACGAGUGUGAGAGUGGAAAGUUCACACUGUGACGGUAUCUUACCAGAAAGGGACGGCUAACUACGUGCCAGCAGCCGCGGUAAUACGUAGGUCCCGAGCGUUGUGCGGAUUUAUUGGGCGUAAAGCGAGCGCAGGCGGUUAGAUAAGUCUGAAGUUAAAGGCUGUGGCUUAACCAUAGUACGCUUUGGAAACUGUUUAACUUGAGUGCUAGAGGGGAGAGUGUAAUUCCGUGGGUAGCGGUGAAAUGCGUAGAUGUUUGGAGGAACCCCGGUGCCUAAAGCGGCUCUCUGGCUUGGAACUGACGCUGAGGCUCGAAAGCUGGGGGAUGAAACUGGAGUAGAUACCCUGGUUGUCCAUGGGCGAUGCUCUCUUGGGAUAUCGGCUUUGCCAUUCCGUCGAUGGCCGGGUGAACUGUGUGCGCGUUCUUUGUUCUCUUUAAUAUUGGUUAUUACCGUGCGCUGGUGUUGG
rnacentral:rRNA from 1 species